ensembl:snoRNA small nucleolar RNA SNORA54
UAGCACUGUUCGUAACCUGUUAACAGACUUUUACUGGUGAUGGGUUCCAUUCCAGUGCCACAGAAAUUCCCAGAGUAAUACAGGAUGGACACGACUUGGUCAAUCUGAUUUUACACUUGGGAGACAAGU